CAUAAGAAUGGAAGCAGUGUUUCCCUGCCAGACUCCUUAUUGCUAUAUCUCAUGAACCUACAUAGUCUUGGGGAAGAGCCUUUAUUUAAUGAUGACAAACCUGUCACCCGUGUAGCACCAGCAGUGAGAGGACAAAAAAGAAUAGAAAUAACGCAUUUAAAUUAUAUUCAACAAGGAAGUCAUUUCAGUCAACAACUUCUGCUGCAUUAUUUUUCCAAGAUGAACCGCUACACAACCAUGAGACAGUUGGGGGAUGGCACCUACAGGAGUGUGCUUAUGGGCAAGAGUAACGACUCUGGGGAGCUGGUGGCUAUCGAAAGGAUGAAGAGAAGGUUCUAUUCUUGCGACGAAUGUAUGAACUUGAGAGAAGUUAAGUCUCUGAAGAAACUUAAUCAUGCCAAUGUGAUUAAACUGAAAGAAGUUAUCAGAGAAAAUGACCCUCUUUAUUUUAUAUUUGAAUAUAUGAAAGAAAACCUCUAUCAAUUAAUGAAAGGCAGAGUGCUGACAACAUCCUAGUGACUUCUGAGCAACUGAGAUUAGAGCUGCG